UACGAAGGGGGGCUAGCGUUGUUCGGAAUCACUGGGCGUAAAGCGCACGCAGGCGGAUUGAUAAGUCAGGGGUGAAAAUCCCGGAGCUCAACUUCGGAACUGCCUUUGAUACUGGCAAUCUAGAGUCCGGAAGAGGUUAGUGGAAUUCCCAGUGUAGAGGUGAAAUUCGUAGAUAUUGGGAAGAACGCCAGUGGCGAAGGCGGCUAACUGGUCCGGUACUGACGCUGAGGUGCGAAAGCGUGGGGAGCAAACAGG
rnacentral:rRNA from 1 species